AAAUCCUUUAACAACAGUCCCGUGAGGCUGUGAAGGUUGUCCACGAAAACGUCCGUCUUUUUUUGAGCGCGGACGAGGCUAUGGCUACCUUUAGGGUAGCCAUUUUUUUGU
rfam:Lactococcus raffinolactis 4877 genomic scaffold, Scaffold1061